CCCUUAGAUGUUCUGGGCUGCACGCGCGCUACACUGACCAGUGCAACAAGCAUCCGUCCUUGGCCGACAGGCCCGGGCAAUCUUUGAACGCUGGUCGUGAUGGGGAUAGACUUUUGCAAUUUUUGGUCUUCAACGAGGAAUUCCUAGUAAACGCAAGUCAUCAACUUGCAUUGAUUACGUCCCUGCCCUUUGUACACACCGCCCGUCGCACCUACCGAUUGAAUGGUCCGGUGAAAUCUCGGGACGGCGGCUUGGUCGCUUGCGUCCGACUGCUGAAACUUGAUUAAACCAUAUCAUUUAGAGGAAGGUGAAGUCGUAACA
rnacentral:rRNA from 1 species